UUCCAGACUCCUACGGGAGGCAGCAGUGGGGAAUUUUGGACAAUGGGCGCAAGCCUGAUCCAGCUAUUCCGCGUGUGGGAUGACGGCCCUCGGGUUGUAAACCACUUUAGUAGAGAACGAAAAGGAGCUAUCGAAUAAAUAGCUCUGCUGACGGUACUCUAAGAAUAAGCACCGGCUAACUACGUGCCAGCAGCCGCGGUAAUACGGAGGAUGCGAGCGUUAUCCGGAUUUAUUGGGUUUAAAGGGUGCGCAGGCGGAAGAUCAAGUCAGCGGUAAAAUUGAGAGGCUCAACCUCUGCGAGCCGUUGAAACUGGUCUUCUUGAGUGAGCGAGAAGUAUGCGGAAUGCGUGGUGUAGCGGUGAAAUGCAUAGAUAUCACGCAGAACUCCGAUUGCGAAGGCAGCAUACCGGCGCUCAACUGACGCUCAUGCACGAAAGUGUGGGUAUCGAACAGGAUUAGAUACCCCCGUA
rnacentral:rRNA from 1 species